AUACGUAGGGUGCAAGCGUUGUCCGGAAUUAUUGGGCGUAAAGAGCUCGUAGGCGGCUUGUCGCGUCUGCUGUGAAAUCCCGGAGCUCAACUCCGGGCGUGCAGUGGGUACGGGCAGGCUAGAGUGCGGUAGGGGAGAUUGGAAUUCCUGGUGUAGCGGUGGGAUGCGCAGAUAUCAGGAGGAACACCGAUGGCGAAGGCAGAUCUCUGGGCCGCUACUGACGCUGAGGAGCGAAAGCAUGGGGAGCGAACAGGAUUAGAUACCCUGGUAGUCCAUGCCGUAAACGUUGGGACCUAGAUGUAGGGCCUGUUCCACGGGUUCUGUGUCGUAGCUAACGCAUUAAGUUCCCCGCCUGGGGAGUACGGCCGCAAGGCUAAAACUCAAAUGAAUUGACGGGG
rnacentral:rRNA from 1 species